rnacentral:hammerhead_ribozyme from 1 species
GUAUUGCUGAAGAGUCCGAGAGUAGGACGAAACAACUGUCCAGUAA